UACGGGGGGGGCUAGCGUUGUUCGGAAUUACUGGGCGUAAAGCGCGCGUAGGCGGCUUUGUAAGUUAGAGGUGAAAGCCCGGAGCUCAACUCCGGAAUUGCCUUUAAGACUGCAUCGCUAGAAUCAUGGAGAGGUCAGUGGAAUUCCGAGUGUAGAGGUGAAAUUCGUAGAUAUUCGGAAGAACACCAGUGGCGAAGGCGACUGACUGGACAUGUAUUGACGCUGAGGUGCGAAAGCGUGGGGAGCAAACAGG
rnacentral:rRNA from 1 species